AUUGAACGCUGGCGGCAGGCCUAACACAUGCAAGUCGAACGAGUGGCGGACGGGUGAGUAAUGUCUGGGAAACUGCCCGAUGGAGGGGGAUAACUACUGGAAACGGUAGCUAAUACCGCAUACCAUCGGAUGUGCCCAGAUGGGAUUAGCUGGUAGGUGGGGUAACGGCUCACCUAGGCGACGAUCCCUAGCUGGUCUGAGAGGAUGACAAGCCACACUGGAACUGAGACACGGCCCAGACUCCUACGGGAGGCAGCAGUGGGGAAUAUGGCACAAUGGGCGCAAGCCUGAUGCAGCCAUGCCGCGUGGGUGAAGAAGGCCCUCGGGUUGUAAAGCACUUUCAGCGGGGAGGCGUUACCCUCAGAAGAAGCACCGGCUAACUCCGUGCCAGCCGCCGCGGUAAUUC
rnacentral:rRNA from 1 species